AAAACUUCAGUUGAAAAGUAAUCUGGAGGUCGUGUGUUCGAUCCACACAAUUCGCUAAUCUGGAGGUCGUGUGUUCGAUCCACACAAUUCGCU